GGCACCAUGGCUUAGCUGGUUAAAGCACCUGCCUUGUGAACAAGAGAUCUGGGGUGCAACUCUCAGUGGUACCU
rfam:Pelodiscus sinensis unplaced genomic scaffold scaffold3206, whole genome shotgun sequence.